rnacentral:rRNA from 1 species
AUUGAACGCUGGCGGCAGGCCUAACACAUGCAAGUCGAGCGGUUGAACGGAGCUUGCUCCUGGAUUCAGCGGCGGACGGGUGAGUAAUGCCUAAGAAUCUGCCUGGCAGAGGGGGAUAACGUCCGGAAACGGGCGCUAAUACCGCAUACGUCCUGAGGCUGAACGUGGGGGUUCUUCCGACCUCACGCUAUCAGAUGAGCCUAGGUCGGAUUAGCUAGCUGGUGGGGUAAAGGCCUACCAAGGCGACGAACCGUAACUGGUCUGAGAGGAUGAUUAGUCACACUGUAACUGAGACACGGUCCACACUCCUACGGGGAGACACAGUGGGGAAUCGUGGGCGUUGGGCGAAAGCCUGAUGCAGCAAUGCCGCGUAUGUAGGGAAAAUCUUCGGAUUGUGAAGCACUUUAAGUUGGAGGGAAGGGCAGUAAGUUAAUACCAUGCGGUUUUGACGAUACAUACAGAAUAAGCAACGGCUAACUACGUG